rnacentral:rRNA from 1 species
GUGGAUUAGAUACCCUGGUAGUCCGCACUGUAAACGAUGAUUACUCGCUGCUUGGGGGCAACCCUGAGUGGCUUAGCGAAAGCGAUAAGUAAUCCACCUGGGGAGUACGCCGGCAACGGUGAAACUCAAAGGAAUUGACGGGGGCCCGCACAAGCGGAGGAGCAUGUGGUUUAAUUCGAUGAUACGCGAGGAACCUUACCAGGGCUUGAAAGUUAGGGAAUGAUUCUGAAAGGAGUCAGUCAGCAAUGACCCGAAACUAGGUGCUGCAUGGCUGUCGUCAGCU